AGUAAAAUAAGCUAAUUCAAGCUAUUGGGCCCAUACCCCGAAAAUGUAGGUUAAAACCCUUCUUUUACUA
rnacentral:tRNA from 3 species